AGAGUUUGAUCCUGGCUCAGAUUGAACGCUGGCGGCAUGCCUUACACAUGCAAGUCGAACGGCAGCACGGGUGCUUGCACCUGGUGGCGAGUGGCGAACGGGUGAGUAAUACAUCGGAACAUGUCCUGUAGUGGGGGAUAGCCCGGCGAAAGCCGGAUUAAUACCGCAUACGAUCUACGGAUGAAAGCGGGGGACCUUCGGGCCUCGCGCUAUAGGGUUGGCCGAUGGCUGAUUAGCUAGUUGGUGGGGUAAAGGCCUACCAAGGCGACGAUCAGUAGCUGGUCUGAGAGGACGACCAGCCACACUGGGACUGAGACACGGCCCAGACUCCUACGGGAGGCAGCAGUGGGGAAUUUUGGACAAUGGGCGAAAGCCUGAUCCAGCAAUGCCGCGUGUGUGAAGAAGGCCUUCGGGUUGUAAAGCACUUUUGUCCGGAAAGAAAUCCUUGGUUCUAAUAUAACCGGGGGAUGACGGUACCGGAAGAAUAAGCACCGGCUAACUACGUGCCAGCAGCCGCGGUAAUACGUAGGGUGCGAGCGUU
rnacentral:rRNA from 1 species